rnacentral:rRNA from 1 species
UUCGCAAGAAUGAAACUCAAAGGAAUUGACGGGGGCCCGCACAAGCGGUGGAGCAUGUGGUUUAAUUCGAUGAUACGCGAGGAACCUUACCAGGGCUUAAAUGCUAAUGACAGGUCUAGAGAUAGACUUUUCUUCGGACAUUUUGCAAGGUGCUGCAUGGUUGUCGUCAGCUCGUGCCGUGAGGUGUCAGGUUAAGUCCUAUAACGAGCGCAACCCCUGCCGUCAGUUGCCAGCAAGUAAAUUGGGGACUCUGACGGGACUGCCGGUGCAAACCGGAGGAAGGUGGGGACGACGUCAAAUCAUCACGGCCCUUACGUCCUGGGCUACACACGUGCUACAAUGGCCGGUACAGCGAGCAGCCACUCCGCAAGGAGGAGCGAAUCUAUAAAACCGGUCACAGUUCGGAUCGGGGUCUGCAACUCGACCCCGUGAAGCUGGAAUCGCUAGUAAUCGGAUAUCAGCAUGAUCCGGUGAAUACGUUCCCGGGCCUUGUACACACCGCCC